rnacentral:misc_RNA from 1 species
CUCCAUUCCUUAUCUGCAAGUUUCAAAACUGAUUCGAUCUGACCCAUGUGAAUUCCCACUGGCAUGAUCUUUAUUCCAACAGUCCUGCCAUAAUACUCCAACCCAAUAUAACCUCUCUUUGAUUGAUACUCCAAACCCAGCAUUCGACUGCAACAAGAGAGAAAAUGACGAGCAUAAUCAAAAGUGUGAAAGCCAAUAAGAUCUGAAUUCAAUAGAGCCUUAAGGAUCUCUUCCCUUACGGGUAAGGUCCUAUAUAUUUCAGAUGAAGGAAAUGGACUAUGAAGAAAGAACCCCAUUCUCAAUCUAUUAAACCUUCUUCUCAAAAAUGUGGGCAGGACCAUCAAAUGAUAAUCAUGAAUCCAAACAUAGUCAUCCUCUGGGUUUAUAACCUCAAUCACUCUUUGUGAAAAUAUCUUAUUUGCCGCCACAUAUGCUUCCCACAGAGACCGAUCAAACCGUCCACCGUGAUUAACUGAAAAGGGAAGCAUGUAAUGAAAAAGAGGCCACAGAUGUUGCUUACAAAAGCCGUGAUAGAACUUGGACAAAAUAUCAGGAGGCAAAAAUGCUGGGACACACUUAAACCUAUCCAAUAAAAGCUGUGAGACAUCAUCUUGUUCGCUCAAAUCAACUUCAACCCGCAAGGAACCAACGUAUAUAACCUCCAUAUCAUCUGGCAGACCAUCUUUCAAUUGCAAUAACAACGAGUCCUCAUCCCAGCUAAAACUCCAUCCUUUAUUAUCUGGUCUGCGCUUGGCUUUCACUGGUAGCUGAUUGGCUACGAUGAUUAUACGGUCCUGAACUACUGAAGAGGGUACAUCAGAGGACACGCUAUUGGCCUGAUCAUCAUCGAGCUCAGAAAUGACCCCAGGAACGGUCAUCACACGAGGCAACCGCUUCUUUUCACGGGGUUGACUCAGUACCGGAAAGUUACCGGAGGCUAGAUCUAAGAGAUUGGUAUACGAUCUAGACAUCAUCUUCGCUCUCUUCUUUUGAAAACCCUUUACAACUCACAGAAUCUAUCACAAGAUCUCAAGCUUAUAAACAGAAUCGGAGAUUGAGCAGGAUCUCAGUUUUGAAACGAAGAAAGUUUGUAUCUUUCCCUCUUUUGGAUCCGAAAUCGAAUAAAAAAAAUUGUAAUUUUAUCUGCACAAG